UGUGGAUAAACUCGGGGGACUGCUGACUAUAAACUUUCUUCAAACCAGAGGAAGGUUGCGGCAAUAACAGGUCUGUGAUGCCCUCAGAUGUUCCGGGCUGCACACGUGCUACAUUUAGUAGCGCAGUGUGCACAUUAGAAGAGUGAUAGGUUCUGCGGUUUGUAUAUUUAAGGGCUCGUCCUAGUAACCAAAGCUCCGCAGAACAUAUCAACCUUCCCUUUAGGGGGCGGGUAACCUCUUCGAAGUGCUGGCUUGAUUCCCGUAGUUUUGGCAUCUCUAUCCUUGUCGCAGCAGCCCUGAGACAUAGCGAACGCUGAAAAGUGAUUCCAGUCUUAGGUUUGCGACACAUGCAAUUCCUGGUUGACUCAUCGUGGGAACUGAUUCUUGUAAUUAUUUUUCACGGUUCAACCAGGAAUGCCUUGUACCGGCGGGUCAUAACCCGCUGGGAAUAC
rnacentral:rRNA from 1 species